AGGGGGUCGUCGUCGACGCGCCGCACGCAGCUCGCGGUGCCUUCCGGCGGCAACAAAACGGGAAAAAAAGUAGUCGAAGACACGACUUGAGCUUCAUCACCAUUGUUAGCAACAACAACAACAACACCAACAACAGAAAAGAUCUCCUCGAGUGCCAGUCGUCGCCGCUCAACCCUCGUCUCCAAACAGAAACGCAGACAAAAAAGCAAGAUCCCCUUUUGCUUCGUGGACAGAGCGCCCGUCGGAGCCACAGAAGACACUGGACAACUGUUUCCACGGCCCGAGUAGUACCCCUGAAGAUACCCUGAACCUAAUGGAUAAAAUUGAUGGACUGCUCCUUUAAAUGUUCUUUUAAAAUGUCCCACACACAACAUGUUAACAAAGUGUUUUCCUUGUCUUAUUCCUACUCCGGGAGGUCCCACAACCAGUCUGCUCUGAACACAUCCAGCCUGCUGCUGCCCCCCACUGGACAAACAGUCAAAAAUAGUAUUACUGUAAACAAUCUCUGGAUGUUCUCAUCUAGAGAUCGAGUACAAAAAAACAAACUUGUGAGAUUUGUUAACGGACAGUAAAUGGUAGGGUUUACACUUCUGGAUUUCACUUGUUUUGGAUGGGUUUGACAUUUAAUCAUAUUUAGUAUGUUGGGUUAAAAAAACAAGCAAACACACAUGCAGACAAAAAAGAAAGAAAAGUGUACACAUUUUAACACCAACAUCGAAUCAUAACAAGUUAGAAUGAAGCCACUUUGGUAAAUGAAAAGAUUGUCAAUUAAGCUCUGCAUGAUAUGUCACAGUUGUUGUGGCAUGUGUCCCCUUCAAUAUUUAUUUGUGGGGGAAAAUGUGAUUUCAAAGUGUAUUUGCUUUGAGAUGAUGAGGGUGUCAGCAGCUUCCCCCUUGAAUGUUCAGCUAAAAUGGGCCAUUGCUAUAAUUGACACUAUAGUGUUGUGUUUUCUAAACCACUGUUACACCAUGAAUGUAUUUCACAGAAUAAAAAAGAUGAACAGAUAUUUGAUUGGGGGAAGAAAAAAAAAAAGCAUUUAAAUAAAAUGAACCAAUCAUGUUGUAUAAGUA